GAAUCAGGAGGCAGAGCACAUGGUUAAAGCAUGAGAUGUGAAACCAGGAAGAACCAGGUCUGAACCUUAGCUCCACCAGUGGUAGCUUCAAACCUUGGUCCUUUCUGAGCCUGCUUCUUCAACCGUAAGCUCAUCCCCUAUUCUCUUCUUGCAAUCGGGAUGCUGCCUGACUACCAACACACCUGCACAAAGCCCUCUGCAGCACCUGCCACUGGCCCAUGCUUUUGUCAUUGCCACCUCCAGCUCAGCCUCAUUCCCCUCCAGGCUCUGCUCCAACGCACAGGACCACAGGAACUCGGAAACGGGACCCAGAAAGUUGUUUUCUCAAGUGGAUGGAACAACACAAGCAAUCAGUAUCCUGAAACAGGCCCUGUUCCAACAAACUGACCCAGAAAGGUCUGGUUAGGAGGACAGGACCCUCACUAUACACUAUCACAUUUAAACUAAAAGGAUAUUAUGAAUUAUGUACACAUAUCAAGCUGAGAGGAAAGGAAAUCCUAUCAUCUUGCAGGCUUCCUAAUG
rnacentral:lncRNA from 1 species